rnacentral:lncRNA from 1 species
UCAUGUUCGGUUCUUGGAUAGUUGUAGAAUAAGGGCACGUUGUAUAAUUUAUUCACAUGUUCUAAUAUCAGUAGAUAUUUAUUAAUCUUAUUCUCUAAAAUGGAAAAUCUUAAUCAUAUCGUCUAUACAUGAUACAUGUUAUAACACGUGCACGGAUUAUACCACGUAAUUAUAUUCUAGUAUUGUACAAUAAUUUCCAUAGUCUGAUUGAAAUAAUGUUUCGAUUAUUGAUUGUACAGGACCUUAU